AUUAAUAAUUAAUAUAUUUAAUAAAAAUAAUUUUAAUUUAAUAAGUAUUUUAAUGGGGGUUAAAGUAUUUUUUAAAGAAAAAAUUUUUAAAUUUAUAGUUAAUUAGUAUUGUGAAAGAAUUUUGAAAUAUUAUGAAAAAUAAAAUUUUUAGAAAGUAAUUUUUAUUUAUUGUAUCUUGUGUAUCAGAGUUUAUUAAAAAUUUUUAAUUUAUGAAUUAAUUUCUCGAAUUUAAAAGAGUUAAAUAAUUAUUAAAGUUAUUGUAGCAAAAUUAUUUUAAAUAAUUAUUUAGAAAUGAAAUGUUAAUCGUUUUUAAAUAUAUCUAGUUUUUAUAGAAAAAAAUUUAAUUUUAAAUUUAAAAAUUAUUUAAUUAAUUUAUUAAUUAAAUAAUUACUUAAAUUUUAUAAUUUAAGGGAUAAGCUUUAAAUUAAAUUUUUAUAAUAUUAAAUUUUUAUUUUGAAAAUUUUAUAAUUUAUAUUGUUAAUAAAUUUUAUUUUGUUAUAAAUAAUUUCAUUUUUUUUAAAAUUUAAAUUUUAUUUAAUUUUUUAUAUAAAAUUUAUUUAUAAUUAUAUAAAGUUAAUUAUAAUGAUAAAAUUAGUAUAUUAUUUAAUAUUAAAUUAAAAUUAAUUUUUGAUUAAUAAUUAAAUUAAUUAAAAGGAAUUCGGCAAAUAUUUAUUUUCACUUGUUUAUCAAAAACAUGUCUUUUUGUUAUUUAAUUUAAAGUCUAAUCUGCCCACUGAUUUAUAAAAAUUGAAGGGCUGCAGUAUAUUGACUGUACAAAGGUAGCAUAAUCAUUAGUCUCUUAAUUGGUGACUUGUAUGAAAGAUUGGAUGAAAAAUAUACUGUCUCUUAAUUAAUAUAUAGAAUUUAAUUUUUUAUUUAAAAAGUUAAAAUAACUUAAAAAGACGAGAAGACCCUAUAGAGUUUAAUAAAUUAUUUUAUGAAAGUUUUAUUUAUAUUUAUUAAUAAUUUUAUAAAUUUAUUUAUUUAGUUGGGGUGAUAAAAAAAUAAAUUUAACUUUUUUUAAGUAAUUUACAUGGAUAAGUGAUUAAU
rnacentral:rRNA from 2 species